AGCAGCCGCGGUAAUUCCAGCUCCAAUAGCGUAUAUUAAAGUUGUUGCAGUUAAAAAGCUCGUAGUUGAAUUUCGGGAUCAGUUUGUUGGUCGUGCUUCGGUACGUACUGUCAUUACUGGUUUCUCCCUUCUGAAGAACCUUGAUGUCAUUAAUUUGGUGUCUUGGGGAAUCAGGACUGUUACUUUGAAAAAAUUAGAGUGUUUAAAGCAGGCAUACGCUUGAAUACAUUAGCAUGGAAUAAUGAAAUAGGACGUUUGAUUCUACUUUGUCGGUUUCUAGGAUCGACGUAAUGAUUAAUAGGGAUAGUUGGGGGCAUUAGUAUUCAAUUGUCAGAGGUGAAAUUCUUGGAUUUAUUGAAGACUAACUACUGCGAAAGCAUUUGCCAAGGAUGUUUUCAUUAAUCAAGAACGAAAGUUAGGGGAUCGAAGACGAUCAGAUACCGUCGUAGUCUUAACCAUAAACUAUGCCGACUAGGGAUCGGAUGAUGUUAAUUUUUAAUGACUCAUUCGGCGCCUUAAC
rnacentral:rRNA from 1 species